rnacentral:rRNA from 1 species
UACGAAGGGGGCUAGCGUUGUUCGGAAUCACUGGGCGUAAAGGGCGCGUAGGCGGCUUUGUAAGUCAGGGGUGAAAUCCCGAGGCUCAACCUCGGAACUGCCUUUGAUACUGGGGAUCUCGAGUCCGGGAGAGGUGAGUGGAACUGCGAGUGUAGAGGUGAAAUUCGUAGAUAUUCGCAAGAACACCAGUGGCGAAGGCGGCUCACUGGCCCGGUACUGACGCUGAGGUGCGAAAGCGUGGGGAGC